rnacentral:rRNA from 1 species
UACGGGAGGGGCAAGCGUUACCCGGAUUUAUUGGGUGUAAAGGGUCCGCAGGCGGUUAAGCGUGUCAGUUUUGAAAUACUCUGGCUCAACCAGAGAAUUGGAACUGAAACUGUUUAACUUUGAGUUCAGAGGGGGGAAACGGAACUGCCAGUGUAGCGGUGGAAUGUGUAGAUAUUGGCAGGAACACCAGUAGCGAAGGCGGUUUCCUACUCUGAAACUGACGCUCAGGGACGAAAGCGUGGGGAGCGAUCGGGAUUAGAUACCCCGGUA